GACGAACGCUGGCGGCGUGCUUAACACAUGCAAGUCGAGCGGGGUCCAUCCAAGGGCAACCUUGGGGAAGGCCUAGCGGCGAACGGGUGAGUAACACGUGAGGAACCUGCCCUGGAGUGCGGGAUAACUCGGGGAAACCCGGGCUAAUACUGCAUGUCUUCAUCGGAUCGCAUGGUUUGGUGAAGAAAGAUUUAUCGCUCUGGGAGGGUCUCGCGGCCUAUCAGCUUGUUGGUGGGGUAAUGGCCUACCAAGGCAGCGACGGGUAGCUGGUCUGAGAGGACGAUCAGCCACACUGGGACUGAGACACGGCCCAGACUCCUACGGGAGGCAG
rnacentral:rRNA from 1 species